GUGAAAAACCCGCACGCCGGAAGACCAAGGGUUCCUAUCCCAUGUUAAUCAGGGUAGGGUAAGUCGACCCCUAAGGCGAGGCCGAAAGGCGUAGUCGAUGGGAAACGGAUUAAUAUUUCCGUACUUGGUAUAAUUGCGAUGGGGGGACGGAGAAGGCUAAGCAAGCAUGGCGAUGGUUGUCCAUGUGAAAGUGAGUAGGGCGUUUGUUUAGGUAAAUCCGGACGAACAUUAAACCUGAGACACGAGACGAGUCACCACGGUGAUGAAGUUGUUGAUGCCAUACUUCCAGGAAAAGCCUCUAAGCUUCAGAUUAUACCGAAUCGUACCCCAAACCGACACAGGUGGUCAGGUAGAGAAUACUAAGGCGCUUGAGAGAACUCGGGUGAAGGAACUAGGCAAAAUCGUACCGUAACUUCGGGAGAAGGUACGCUCCUAUCUGUGAUGAGACUUGCUCUCUAAGCGGACGGGAGCCGCAGUGACCAGGUGGCUGGGACUGUUUAUUAAAAACACAGCACUGUGCAAAAUCGCAAGAUGACGUAUACGGUGUGACACCUGCCCGGUGCCGGAAGGUUAAUUGAUGGGGUUAGUUUUCGGACGAAGCUCUUGAUCGAAGCCCCGGUAAACGGCGGCCGUAACUAUAACGGUCCUAAGGUAGCGAAAUUCCUUGUCGGGUAAGUUCCGACCUGCACGAAUGGUGUAACCAUGGCCACGCUGUCUCCACCCGAGACUCAGUGAAAUUGAAAUCGCAGUGAAGAUGCUGUGUACCCGCGGCUAGACGGAAAGACCCCGUGAACCUUUACUACAGCUUGGCACUGAACAUUGAACCUACAUGUGUAGGAUAGGUGGGAGACUUUGAAGCAGCGACGCUAGUUGUUGUGGAGUCGUCCUUGAAAUACCACCCUUGUAGUUUUGAUGUUCUAACGUUGGCCCCUGAAUCGGGGUUACGGACAGUGCCUGGUGGGUAGUUUGACUGGGGCGGUCUCCUCCCAAAGAGUAACGGAGGAGCACGAAGGUUGGCUAAGUACGGUCGGACAUCGUACGGUUAGUGUAAUGGUAGAAGCCAGCUUAACUGCGAGACAGACACGUCGAGCAGGUACGAAAGUAGGUCAUAGUGAUCCGGUGGUUCUGAAUGGAAGGGCCAUCGCUCAACGGAUAAAAGGUACUCCGGGGAUAACAGGCUGAUACCGCCCAAGAGUUCAUAUCGACGGCGGUGUUUGGCACCUCGAUGUCGGCUCAUCACAUCCUGGGGCUGAAGUCGGUCCCAAGGGUAUGGCUGUUCGCCAUUUAAAGUGGUACGCGAGCUGGGUUUAGAACGUCGUGAGACAGUUCGGUCCCUAUCUGCCGUGGGCGUUUGAGAAUUGAGAGGGGUUGCUCCUAGUACGAGAGGACCGGAGUGAACGAACCGCUGGUGUUCGGGUUGUCAUGCCAAUGGCAUUGCCCGGUAGCUACGUUCGGAACUGAUAAGCGCUGAAAGCAUCUAAGCGCGAAGCAGGCCUCGAGAUGAUUUCUCACUAGACUUUUAAAGUCUCUGAAGGGCCGUUGAAGACUACAACGUUGAUAGGCAAGAUGUGGAAGUGGUGUGAGCCAUUAAGCUAACUUGUACUAAUUACCCGUGAGGCUUAACCAU
rnacentral:rRNA from 1 species